rnacentral:rRNA from 1 species
GAUGAACGCUGGCGGCGUGCCUCAUACAUGCAAGUCGAGCGAACAGACGAGGAGCUUGCUCCUCUGACGUUAGCGGCGGACGGGUGAGUAACACGUGGAUAACCUACCUAUAAGACUGGGAUAACUUCGGGAAACCGGCGCUAAUACCGGAUACUAUAUUGAACCGCAUGGUUCCAUAGUGAAAGACGGUUUUGCUGUCACUUAUAGAUGGAUCCGCGCCGCAUUAGCUAGUUGGUAAGGUAACGGCUUACCAAGGCAACGAUGCGUAGCCGACCUGAGAGGGGGAUCGGCCACACUGGAACUGAGACACGGUCCAGACUCCUACGGGAGGCAGCAGUAGGGAAUCUUCCGCAAGGGGCGAAAGCCUGACGGAGCAACGCCGCGUGAGUGAUGAAGGUCUUCGGAUCGUAAAACUCUGUUAGUAGGGAAGAACAAAUGUGGAAGUAACUAUGCACGUCUUGACGGUACCUAAUCAGAGAGCCACGGCUAACUACGUG